GCUGCUUUUCCUCUACGACCACCGCACGCAAUCUCCCCUCCUCCUACUCGCUCUCGCCGCGCCGCUCCACCUAUCCGCUCUCCUUCGUUUAUGUGCGACGGCGGCGGCUGAUUGAUGUGGGACGUGGCGGUAGCGACGACGGCCUCAAGCAGGGAUAUGAGGAUGAAGGAAUAUUGUCCAAGAUCCCUGAGGAGCACGAGGUGGGGAGCCAGAAUAGAUCGGCGCCAGGGCGUGAGGACCAUGCCGUCAUCACGGCGAGCCCAAGCCAGCAUCCUAUUGGGCUUUCUGACGCGGUUCAGCAUCAUGGUGGCGCGGAGUAAGGCCUUCUUUGACUCCAGGUCGGCCGCAAACACGACAUCCAGAUGAAGCCCGGCUGUUCAGGCAUCUGGAUCGGCCGCUGCUCCCUCGCUGACUACGACGACGGGCUCAUCAACAUCACACACCAGAGCACCGUCAUCAUCGUAUCUAGAUCAUCGAUACUACCUCGUCGAAGUCACACGGGACCCAGUGCUUCACACUACCUCCAAAGCAUUCGAAGCAGGUGUCCGCGUACAUGGUAUAAUUGUCACCUGCACAUAUAUCACCAUACAUUCAAAUGAAGAACGAAAGCGUCUAAAAGAUUCUGAAGCUUCAUUCUGGAAUUACAUGAAUCUGGGGCUGACUGAGGGAGAUCAAAAUGGUACUAGAUGGUAACAUUAGGUUGUAUGCCUGCAGUGAUGGUUAAUCAAGAUCGAUCAAAGGCUAUGUUCAGGUGUCGUUGUCGUGACUUGCUUGGCAUUACUCUGAUAUCCGUUAGGCAGUGGUAACCUUCUUUUGAUGGUUGUAGACACACAUCUUCAGUCACACGUACACCAUAUGAGGUAUUGAAUAACCUAUCCUCUCAUUUUUAUCGUCAUUGCCAUAACUUUUACCGGCUUCUCAUCAAAGUUCUUGCCUCUGAGCCCACUCUCUGCCAUGGUGUGCUGAUCUGCUCGUUUUACAUUAUGUGUUUGUUUGUCUGUUUGUGUGAACUUUCAGUUUUCCAGAAGUUUUUGUUAAAGCAUGCCACUUCUAUCUUUGUAUAUACUAUAAGCUAAACUCAAGUAGAAGUAGUAUUAUCCAGUUAUCUAUUUGCAAUUCAAUUAUUUAGUUAUUUUAGGAGCAUUAGUUCAUUGAUUUAAUGAAUUUUUUAGCACUCAAAACAGCAGGAGAGGCUCCCGCUGCUAUGUUUUAAAUUUUUGAGAAAUAAUUACAUAAUGCCUGUAUGCCCACCAAUUGGUGGCAGAAAUGGUCUUUUUUGUUGCGAAAGGGCAGAAAGGGAUUUACAAAUAAAACAAGGCCAAGUAUACAAAAAAUAUACAAGGGUAAGCAAGACUACAAAUAGGAAUGUAAGCUUGAAGUGAUGUGAUCAGGUCUUGAAGGUGUUCUUGAUUUUCAGUUCUGGCCUUGAACUUCAGAAUCCCUAGGUCUGAUGUUAGUGCUCUCUUCCAACUGAGCAAUAUGCAGAGCCUCUGGUACGCGGCUCUGUCGCCGCCACCUGCUACUUUAAGUCGGCCAACGGCCUCGCUGGAAACUGGGGCUUAUCCAUAUCCCGACUCAAUCUCCGCGUCGCCCUCCUCACUGAUUUUUGCUCAUGCUCGGAUGUGUCCAAGUGUUGAUUUUUGUUCAUGUGUGGAAGCUGGACUAUGUCUAUAUGUACAUUUUUGUUCAUGCAAGAAUUUUUUAUUUGCUCAUUGCAUCAUGUUAUUAUCAUGUGUAGCUCGUCAUUUACCCAAAAUAUUGUUCUUCCAUUUGGGCAAGUUUUAGUUGCGGAUGCAUCUUUGCGUGCUUGUUCUGCUUGAGCCCGCCGCCUCGCCGUGAAGCCCUCUGCUGCAGCCUCUCACUUCACUGUCGACGACACUCUGCUUCAACCCGUCUCUGUCCAGUACCGGACAAACCUGUUGUAAAGACACUUGAGAUGGAGGCCUGAUUGUUGCAGUUUCAAUAGCUCAGGGAGCACCUCCUCGCUGGCAACCCCUUCGUCACCAAGCUUGUCGUGGAGUGCGUCGUGGGGUCAUCGCCAAUGUCUUCUUUAUUUUGAGAAGCAUCAUUCACCGCCUCUAGACAGGAUCGUCGGCGACCGCCACUGCCGCGUGUGGGAGCCAUGAACUCUGCCUUACCAUACAAGGAAUUGUGCCUCCACUUUUGGACAAUGUGCGAUAUGUAUACCAUUACCAAAACUGCUUACCCUUCCUUUUGAACCAGCUAGCAUAUAUGUAAUGCAUAGUUUAACCAACUAUGCAGCUGAUUGCUACUUCUCCAAAUGAAGCCUGCUUUCAACUCUAAUGAUCUGGAUUACUACUCAAGGGAUUUGGCAUGCUUUAUGGUCAUUGGUUAACAAGGUUCUCAGUUGUACAUGCAUGUGUGGCAGUA